CAAUCUAUUGAAACUAUGUAUCUAGUAGGCUUCGACUAAUCAAUCACUUAAUCAACACUAACCGACAUACAUAUCAAUUGAAUCACUUUCAAGACAAAGUUUAUAUAAAUAAAUCCGGUUUCCUCGUAUGAAUUGUAAUCGUACAAGGUAUUUCAAUGCAAUUAUCGGGUCAAGAUUACAAUAUGGAAAGGCAAACAAAAUGCAAGUAUGCAAAAUUGUCAUUGAGCAUGCAAUUAAAAUGAUUGUGCUACAGAGAGAAAAGUUAACUCUUUUACAAAGUUAACCCCCUUUUUUUCAACGGGAAAAACAAUAAAGGACACGAUACAGAUAAACUCCAGAUAUAUGUAUGUAUAUAUAUAUGUAUAUAUGUAAUUUGCUGACUCAUUGCCAAACUGGGGUGGAGAAAGAGCAAGAAUGGUUGCCAGGUAUUCAAUUUUUGUGUAGUAUGCGUGGCAAAUUGAAUUAGACGAGGGCCAGAGAUUCCAAUAGCAACAACAUGAUGUACAAAAAUUUUGUUGAAAAUCUUCAAAUUGGCACACAUACAAAUACAAUGCCCUAAUGUUUAACAAUCAGA